GCUCCGAUGGUGUAGUGGUAUCACAUGUGCUUCACACGCACAGGGUCCUCAGUUCGAACCUGAGUCGGAGCA